GUCAACAUGUCCGAGUGGUUAAGGAGACAGACUUGAAAUCUGUUGGGUAACGCCCGCGCAGGUUCAAGUCCUGCUGUUGACG
rfam:Selaginella moellendorffii unplaced genomic scaffold SELMOscaffold_20, whole genome shotgun sequence.